rnacentral:rRNA from 1 species
UACGGAAGGCAGCGGUGGGGAAUAUUGCACAAUGGGCGCAAGCCUGAUGCAGCCAUGCCGCGUGUAUGAAAAAGGCCUUCGGGUUUGUAAAGUACUUCAGUCGUGAGGAAGGUGUUAAGGUUAAUAACCUUAGCAAUUGACGUUAGCGACAGAAGAAGCACCGGCUAACUCCGUGCCAGCAGCCGCGGUAAUACGGAGGGUGCGGAGCGUUAAUCGGAAUUACUGGGCGUAAAGGGCACGCAGGGCGGUUAAAUUAAGUUGGAUGUGAAAUUCCCCGGGCUUAACCUGGGAAUGGCAUUCAAGACUGGUUAGCUAGAGUCUUGUAGAGGGGGUAGAAUUCCAUGUGUAGCGGUGAAAUGCGUAGAGAUGUGGAGGAAUACCGGUGGCGAAGGCGGCCCCUGGACAAAGACUGGACGCUCAUGUGCGAAAGCGUGGGGAGCAAACAGGGAUUAGAUACC